rnacentral:lncRNA from 1 species
UGCUGUUGUUAUCACUCAAACUAUUAUUAAUAGUAGUAGUACAUUUAAUGAACACUUACUUUUUUGUAGCACUGGAGAACUUCAUUGAGCAGUGAAGCACAAAGUCUUUGAUUCUGUGUAGUCUUGGGAGAGAUUGUGCUCAAAGGCCCAAUGGAGACAGAUGCCAGGCAGCUCUGUCUCCACAGCAGCAGCAUCUGAGGAGAGCAGCAAUCCUGGUGGCUUGGUAUGACAGCAGUGGCCCACCAACUCUGAGAUUUCUAUGAGGAUUACAGAAGACUGGACUGGCUGGACUAAAGCAGAGUUCCAAAAUGUCACCUGGCCAGGAGUUGCAUUGUCCCCUGACUUCCCAUGUUGCUCUGUACCUUGGCAAAUGAGGACUAUAUCUUUUCCACUGUCUUCUAACUUCUCAGGAGCACAAAGGCUCAGAGGCAGAGCCUGCCAGAGCAGGAAGUGUGGCUCAUCAAAGCUUGAAAAGCUGCAGCUCUCUGACCUGUGUGUCAAUACUCUGACAUGGUCUGUGCCUCACAAACUAGGGAAAUUAGAGGUGAGUGAUCACACAGUUCCUUCUUCCAAACUGGUGUUCCACCAAGUGGCCUGGAAGUACCACUCUAUCCAUCGCUUAGCAUCCCUUAGUCCCUUAUCGUGACUAGACAUGCAUCUUUAAAUGGUCCCUGUUUUUUGAAUAUGGGCCUGCAUGGCUGGUUCUAGUGUGUUAAGAUAUA